AACGAACGUUAGCGGCGCGCCUAACACAUGCAAGUCGAGCGAGAAGGGGGCAACCCCUGUAAAGCGGCGCACGGGUGAGUAACACGUAGGUAAUCUACCUCGAGGUGGUGGAUAACCUUCCGAAAGGAGGGCUAAUACAGCAUGGGACCACGUCUUCGAAAGAGGAUGAGGUAAAAGCGGGCCUCUAUACAUAAGCUCGCGCCACGAGAUGAGCCUGCGGCCCAUCAUGGUAGUUGGUAGGGUAACGGCCUACCAAGCCGAAGACGGGUAGCUGGUCUGAGAGGAUGAUCAGCCACACUGGAACUGAGACACGGUCCAGACUCCUACGGGAGGCAGCAGUGGGGAAUCUUGCGCAAUGGGCGAAAGCCUGAUCCAGCCAUGCCGCGUGAGUGAAGAAGGCCUGG
rnacentral:rRNA from 1 species